AACAGGGCCUAGGCCACUGUGGAUUUCUUCAUUAGGUAUAAUUUUUUUCUGAUUAUGAAACUGGAUUCAUCAGUUCUCAGCUCACUGGUUUAUUCUACUGAAUAAAUUCUUACCUAAAGCUAGGCUUCCCUCCUCCUGCUGUCUUUGCAAGUCUUCCAAGCAUCUAUGAAAUGAUUGUAUUCUGUGUUUCUCAGCCCCUGAAUAUGGUCCAUCGACUUUACAUCCCUAGUUCUUCUCUUAGGCUCUCAUUUCUCAAUGGAGUCUGUCUAUUCUUCCUGUUCUCUUUAGACCUCCCUUUUAUUGCUUUUCUCUGUUUCUUUCCUUCCCCUUCUUUCCCUCCUUACCUGUCUCCUUCACGUUAAACAUGGGAGAUAUAGGCCUUGCUGCAGAGGAAGGGGCAGUCACAUGAUUUCAAAAUCCUGAAAUGUUACCCAGUAGAAAGCAGGACAGUGGAAUCAUUCUCUGAUGGGAUGCUGCCUGCCACCGACCGGGGUUACAGUUAGGCUGAGGUCAAGAACAAGCCCAGCGGCCUACAAGGCUCAAAGCAGGCAGUGACCUUGCUUCCAGCUGCAGUGGCUGUUCCUUUGAAUUCUGGCGCUGAUCCCACACCAAGUAGAGCUGAGCAGCCUGCCAGAUUCGGAAGACAGGACUGCUGGUGAGACUGCAGAGCAUGCGCAGGAAUGGACAGGCACAUGACAGCUGGCGUCGCACACCACGCCCUGGAAUGUCCUGGAAGAAAAGACUCCAGCUCUUCCACCCAUUGCUUCAGGAAAGGCCACGCCCCCACUUCCACUCUCGUCCAAUCGGGAAAAGAGGGAGGGGCAGCCUCUAUCCUGCUCCACCAAUGCUAUAAAGGGAGCUGCCCAGGAAAGCUGAGGGUUAGCAUUUUUCUGUAGGUGAGCCUGUUAGUAGGCCAGAAGACCAAGCGAAAUGUGGGGGCGCACAGUGAAUUUGGAGGGUCCUGUUAUGUGGAGCAGCCUCCAGUGACUUGAGCUUAGGGAACCUGUGUAAAUUUCCUCGGAGAAAAGCGCAGCAGCUACAGAGAUUUUGGGAUUGGAUCCUAGACCCUGAGGAGAUUGGGACCUGCGGCCUGGCUGAAGGCCUCAUGUGUUCUGAUUCCUUACUACCCGCGUGGGUGGGUUCUUACACAGCUGGGUUUUCAGAAAAAUAUGCUAGCCUUUUGUGCUGUUUGGAAGGUACCAGUGCCACCCAAGAGACAUCCAAUUAUAUGAACAUGAAUCCUUCCACAAGGACAGUGGCGACAUCAUUCUUUGUGUGGUCAAAGCAGUUGCAAAAAAACCAACCAAGCAGUGAAUGCCUGUCGCCUGUAAAGAUCCUACAGCAUGAAAGCAUGUCUGAUUCUACAAAUUGGCCAUAAGUCACUGAGCCUGCGUGAGGCAGGAGCGGAAAAGGAGGGGGCUUCCGAAAAGAUGGCGGCUGCUCCUGCUGGUGUGGGCCGCCUCGAAGGAGAGGCGCUGCCGCAGAAAUAACGGCUGAAGGCCCUCGGGAGAAAAGUGGG